AACGAACGCUGGCGGCAGGCCUAACACAUGCAAGUCGAGCGCCCCGCAAGGGGAGCGGCGGACGGGUGAGUAACGCGUGGGAACGUACCCUUUGCUACGGAAUAGCCUCGGGAAACUGGGAGUAAUACCGUAUGUGCCCUUCGGGGGAAAGAUUUAUCGGCAAAGGAUCGGCCCGCGUUGGAUUAGGUAGUUGGUGGGGUAAUGGCCUACCAAGCCGACGAUCCAUAGCUGGUUUGAGAGGAUGAUCAGCCACACUGGGACUGAGACACGGCCCAGACUCCUACGGGAGGCAGCAGUGGGGAAUCUUAGACAAUGGGCGCAAGCCUGAUCUAGCCAUGCCGCGUGAGCGAUGAAGGCCUUAGGGUUGUAAAGCCCUUUCAGUGGGGAAGAUAAUGACUGUACCCACAGAAGAAGCCCCGGCUAACUCCGUG
rnacentral:rRNA from 1 species